rnacentral:rRNA from 1 species
GCAUUUUAAAGGCUGCCCUAUAUUAUCUGUACGCAGGUAGCAUAAUAAUUAGUUUAUUAAUUGUAAACUUGUAUGAAUGGUUUAAUGAGAAAAUAACUUUCUUUAAGUAUUUAUUAGGAAUUUACAUUUUUUGUUAAAAUGCAAAAAUUUAUUUAUUAGACGAGAAGACCCUAUAAAACUUAAUAUUAAGUUUUAUACAUGUAUAAAACUUAAUAUUAGAUUGGGGAGAUUAAUAAAUUAAAAUAACUUUCAUUUUAGUUAUAUCAUAAAUUAAUGUUUUGUUGAAUUAAUAUAUUAGUUAUAAGAUUAAGUUACUUUAGGGAUAACAGCGUUAUUUAGUUGGAGAGUUCUUAUUGAUAACU